AGAGUUUGAUCCUGGCUCAGAUUGAACGCUGGCGGCAGGCCUAACACAUGCAAGUCGAGCGGAUGAAGAGAGCUUGCUCUCUGAUUCAGCGGCGGACGGGUGAGUAAUGCCUAGGAAUCUGCCUGAUAGUGGGGGACAACGUUUCGAAAGGAACGCUAAUACCGCAUACGUCCUACGGGAGAAAGCAGGGGACCUUCGGGCCUUGCGCUAUCAGAUGAGCCUAGGUCGGAUUAGCUAGUUGGUGAGGUAAUGGCUCACCAAGGCGACGAUCCGUAACUGGUCUGAGAGGAUGAUCAGUCACACUGGAACUGAGACACGGUCCAGACUCCUACGGGAGGCAGCAGUGGGGAAUAUUGGACAAUGGGCGAAAGCCUGAUCCAGCCAUGCCGCGUGUGUGAAGAAGGUCUUCGGAUUGUAAAGCACUUUAAGUUGGGAGGAAGGGCAUUAACCUAAUACGUUAGUGUUUUGACGUUACCGACAGAAUAAGCACCGGCUAACUUCGUGCCAGCAGCCGCGGUAAUAC
rnacentral:rRNA from 2 species